rnacentral:sRNA from 1 species
GCUUUCUAGACACUGUCCAGACCCCAAGACAGAGGAUCUAAGGAGCAGGACUCGACCCACGAUCACAAGGCUGCGGUGUUGCUCAAGUCUUAGAGUGGACAGUGAAGAGAAUAUUCUGAGUAGCUACUGGGGAAGGCUAUUUAUCGAUAUGCUUUUAUGUCUGUUCUACUUCGAUGGGUGAUCUGGGAGAGUCUGCUUUUCCAAGUCUCUUUACCUCACAAAGUUUCAAGAGAAAGGAAGAUACAAACCUGGGCAUGGCUAACACAUUGGCUGUGGACAGAUCUCACUCGUGAACCUGGCAAAGCAGCAGGGGCCUUGGAUUUGUGGAGGGAGCUCUGUGGAUUCUGGCACCUGGAAUUUAAAUGACUGUUAGUUUUCUUUACUUAUCUGUUGUCCCUCUUCCAUAAAAGCAUCCUAGACUGGGUUAAUGAGUGAAUGUUAAGCCAUGUAAUUUCUGAUUUGGAAUUCCUUUUUUGUAGACCAGGCAGAAGAUGUGAAACAAAACAAAACAAAACAACAAAAUAAAACAAAACCAACUCAGACUGACCAGAAAUAAGGAGCCUACUUGUCUUUGUCUCUUAACUGUUGAUGUCCAUGAAGCUAGACAGUUGCACAUGUGCCCAACACACUCUGACUUUGCCUUUGAGGU